GAUGAUCGCUGGCGGCGUGCUUAACACAUGCAAGUCGAACGGUGAAGGCGGAGCUUGCUCUGCUGGAUCAGUGGCGAACGGGUGAGUAACACGUGAGCAAUCUGCCCCUGACUCUGGGAUAAGCGCUGGAAACGGCGUCUAAUACUGGAUACGAGCUGCGAAGGCAUCUUCAGCAGCUGGAAAGAAUUUCGGUCAGGGAUGAGCUCGCGGCCUAUCAGCUUGUUGGUGAGGUAAUGGCUCACCAAGGCGUCGACGGGUAGCCGGCCUGAGAGGGUGACCGGCCACACUGGGACUGAGACACGGCCCAGACUCCUACGGGAGGCAGCAGUGGGGAAUAUUGCACAAUGGGCGAAAGCCUGAUGCAGCAACGCCGCGUAAGGGACGACGGCCCUCGGGUUGUAAACCUCUUUUAGCAGGGAAGAAGCGAAAGUGACGGUACCUGCAGAAAAAGCGCCGGCUAACUACGUG
rnacentral:rRNA from 1 species